rnacentral:rRNA from 1 species
UGGGGAAUAUUGGACAAUGGGGGAAACCCUGAUCCAGCCAUGCCGCGUGAGUGAUGAAGGCCUUAGGGUUGUAAAGCUCUUUUGUGAGGGAAGAUGAUGACGGUACCUCAAGAAUAAGCACCGGCUAACUUCGUGCCAGCAGCCGCGGUAAUACGAAGGGUGCUAGCGUUGUUCGGAAUCACUGGGCGUAAAGCGCGCGUAGGCGGCUAUUCAAGUCAGGGGUGAAAUCCUGGGGCUCAACCCCAGAAUUGCCUUUGAAACUGUAAAGCUAGAGUGUCGGAGGGGAUAGCGGAAUUGCUAAUGUAGAGGUGAAAUUCGUAGAUAUUAGCAGGAACACCGGUGGCGAAGGCGGCUAUCUGGACGACAACUGACGCUGAGGCGCGAAAGCGUGGGGAUCAAACAGGAUUAGAUACCCCCGUAGUCC